CCCGUGUCCUGAAGCAGUCUUCGGAAGUGCUUUAGGGAUCGUCUGGGGACACGAGAGGAGCUGGGACGAAGCAGGUUGUGAAAGAGGAAAGAAGAGAAUGGGGGACACAGGGGUCAAGGUCCAGUUGAGCUUAAUAGGUUUGCAUACUGAGAUGCCAUGGUGAUGAAGGGAAAGGCCAAUCCUGAAGUAUUUCCAGCUCAACUGAAAUCAGGAAACACAGAAUAACCCAGAAAGAAAGCCUGCUGAAGAGACAUGCCUCGACCGGAGGGAUUUGGAUAAGCACUUGAAAUUUUUUGCCUGCCACAGAAGUUUGGACUCUCCUACCUGUCUCACCUUGUUCCUUGUGGUGUGAACUCUCUACCCUUUCCAAACCAAAAAAGCCUCAAGGCAGCCUGGCUGUUUGUCAAAUAAAUCCCUCUCUUGAA